rnacentral:rRNA from 1 species
UGGGGAAUAUUGGACAAUGGGCGAAAGCCUGAUCCAGCAAUGCCGCGUGAGUGAUGAAGGCCUUAGGGUUGUAAAGCUCUUUUACCCGGGACGAUAAUGACUGUACCGGGAGAAUAAGCCCCGGCUAACUCCGUGCCAGCAGCCGCGGUAAUACGGAGGGGGCUAGCGUUGUUCGGAAUUACUGGGCGUAAGGCGCACGUAGGCGGAUUGUUAAGUCGGGGGUGAAAUCCUGGAGCUCAACUCCAGAACUGCCUUCGAUACUGGCGAUCUCGAGUUCGGGAGAGGUGAGUGGAACUGCGAGUGUAGAGGUGAAAUUCGUAGAUAUUCGCAAGAACACCAGUGGCGAAGGCGGCUCACUGGCCCGAUACUGACGCUGAGGUGCGAAAGCGUGGGGAGCAAAC